UGUCAUGCCUGUCUCCUGCAAAAUAGGAGUCUCAUAUGCAGACUGAGGCCGUUGUUCGUUUAGAGCCAUGCACAGAGUCACUCACGAUUCAUUGUCUUCAGCUAUCCAAGGAUGCCUGCAUCAUCAGCUGGCACAGUGCCGUCAGCGUAAUGGGAAGUAAUGACAAAGCAGUAUGCAUUCAUUCCCAGAGAGACUCUUGCAAAACACUUGCAAACACAUGCAUACACACCUUGUAUAGGUGUAUAAUGUAGAACUAGGCCUGUAUAUUGGAGGGUUCAUAUUAUUAGCUGAUACUUGCUAAUCAAAGAUAUAUCUAUAUCAUUGUAGGUGGUUGUGUAAUAUUAGUAUACCUUCUCAGACAAACUCAGGAGGACAUCUUACCGUCCACUUAACCUUUGACAUUCCUCUUUGGUCUCGAUCAUACCAACCCAAUCUCUACUGGAAACGAUCACAGUUUCCAUGGGCCAAAAGAUUUACAAGAGCCGGGGGCACAAGGCUCACAGAGCAGCCGUCCCUCUCAGUUCCUCUCAGUGACUUGAGAAUCACAAAAGAGGCCAGUGAGCUCUGUCCAGGCUGACUCCAGGGUAAACUUCCCUGAGCGCUGAGCUGCAGCGUGCCUUCCACUGGAUGACACCAGUACAGUAGUGAGUGCUAGAUUGUGUGUAUUUGUGGACCUAUAUGUGUGUAAUGACUGGCUAUUCAUAUACCCCCCCCCAUAACCAACCCUAUCCUGUCUUGCCUCACACCCAUCACCCUCUGCCUCCAGACAAACCCUAUGUAGGUCACUCCAUGUGUUAACACAGCCGCCCAACACGAGGAUUACACUGCUACCCCCAAAAUGGCCAUUUUAGCAGAUUAAUAUCUGCAGAAUAUUUAUCAUAACCCUGUUUCUAACCGGUUAUUAUCACCUUAUUAUUGCAGGUGUUGAUGGUGCUGUCUACAGAAAGUUCUUUAAGUCCGCUCAGUUUCUCCACAUCUACCACAAAUGAUGAGAAUGCAGCUUAAUACACCUUUCUACUGAUUCAUGCUUGCCUCUACUCUUCAUCUGACACUGCAAUUUAAAUUACCACAUCUUAACACAAAGACAUCAAUGGUUACAUCAUUGCACUUUCCCCGCAUCACCAAAAAUGACCUCAUUCUCCUUCUCUAUGAUGUUCCAGCUGGUGGGGGUUCUGUGCUUUGCCACGCAGCUUUGGAUGAUAUAAUUACACGGCCGUCCGCGGCUCGUCAAAACCCUUUGGCACCGACCGUGCAGUGAUCUGAGCACCUCCUGACAUAAUCUAACCGCCACAUGGCCGUGCCUGCUUCGCCUCAGUCUCUCUCCCUUCCCAGCCUCUUGUUACUGAUCAUUAGUAUUAAGGAAAAGAUAGGAAGGCAAUAAAGGAGGGGGAGUGAUGCAACAGCACUUAACAUGACUGCAAAGUUUAAAAAUGAGAAAAUUGAUUUUGUGUGAUGUUGGAUAUUGAAAAUCUGAGAAGAGGGAGGAAGGGAUAAGGAAAAUAAAUUAGUCUCAAUUGAGUUUA